GACGAACGCUGGCGGCGUGCCUAAUACAUGCAAGUAGAACGCUGAAGGAGGAGCUUGCUUCUCUGGAUGAGUUGCGAACGGGUGAGUAACGCGUAGGUAACCUGCCUGGUAGCGGGGGAUAACUAUUGGAAACGAUAGCUAAUACCGCAUAAUAGUAGAUGUUGCAUGACAUUUGCUUAAAAGGUGCAAUUGCAUCACUACCAGAUGGACCUGCGUUGUAUUAGCUAGUUGGUGGGGUAACGGCUCACCAAGGCGACGAUACAUAGCCGACCUGAGAGGGUGAUCGGCCACACUGGGACUGAGACACGGCCCAGUCUCCUACGGGAGGCAGCAGUAGGGAAUCUUCGGCAAUGGACGGAAGUCUGACCGAGCAACGCCGCGUGAGUGAAGAAGGUUUUCGGAUCGUAAAGCUCUGUUGUAAGAGAAGAACGAGUGUGAGAGUGGAAAGUUCACACUGUGACGGUAUCUUACCAGAAAGGGACGGCUAACUACGUG
rnacentral:rRNA from 1 species